UCUAACGACGGGCCGAAAUCCCUCUCUGCAACAGUGGAUUUGUAUUCUAGACGAAGACUUCCUUCAAUUAGCCGACGGCGAGGAGAACGGGGAAGACAACGGCAUCACAGUAUUUGAAAUAGCUCCUUCAGGAUUGUUCUAUGGGUGGCCAAAAUAGGGGAUUAUGUCAUUUUUGUAGGGUUGCGGGACACGUGUUGCCGGAAUGUCCAAAAAAGAUUAAAUGCCCAAACUGUGGCGAGGGCUUCGUCAGGUGGUUGGAGGUAGAAAAGAAUUCGGAUAAUAAAGGGUUGUUGUUCCAUAGUUUUACCUGCAACUGUCGGCUUUUCAAGUUUUCUAACAUUGCGCCGUAUAAAGAGUAUUCAUUGCAAGGUGAAUCAAGUGGCACUACCAACGGAAGUGAACCGGUUGACGAUUUGUCCCGUAUGUUGACGACGUGUGCAAAAAUAACCAAGGAGAGAAACUUAGAGAUUUCAUUCAACAUCACCAUACGCAAAGGGAAACGAGUUUUGAAAGAUGUAGAAUGAAAUAUAUGUAAUUGAGUAGCUUCGACUUAUUGUAAUUAAAAUUGCAGUGAUGGCUAUGUUUGGAGCACAUUUUCUGUGAAGUUGUCUUGAUGUAUGUAGUGAACUAUUACAAGUGUUGUCAAUCAAAUCCCAUGUUGCAGUA